CCUACGGGAGGCAGCAGUGGGGAAUAUUGGACAAUGGGCGAAAGCCUGAUCCAGCCAUGCCGCGUGUGUGAAGAAGGCCUUCGGGUUGUAAAGCACUUUCAGUGGGGAAGAAAGCCUUGGGGCUAAUACCCUCGAGGAAGGACAUCACCCACAGAAGAAGCACCGGCUAACUCCGUGCCAGCAGCCGCGGUAAUACGGAGGGUGCGAGCGUUAAUCGGAAUUACUGGGCGUAAAGCGCGCGUAGGCGGUCUGAUAAGCCGGUUGUGAAAGCCCCGGGCUCAACCUGGGAACGGCAUCCGGAACUGUCAGGCUAGAGUGCAGGAGAGGAAGGUAGAAUUCCCGGUGUAGCGGUGAAAUGCGUAGAGAUCGGGAGGAAUACCAGUGGCGAAGGCGACCUUCUGGACUGACACUGACGCUGAGGUGCGAAAGCGUGGGUAGCAAACAGGAUUAGAUACCCUUGUAGUC
rnacentral:rRNA from 1 species